UCUUGCAAUCUCCUCCCUUCCCCAUCCCCUCCACCGAAAUGAUCGGGCCUCAAGCGGUGGUAGCGGCGGCGGGCGGCUGGGCUGAGAUGAAAAGCGUUGCUGGAGGCGCUCGCCGAGCGCCAGGCUGGGCUCCCCGCGGAGCAUAGGCCCGGGAGGAAGAGGGGGAGGGGGGCGGCGUGGAACGGAUCGCCGCCGCCCCGGAAGGCAAGAGAGAUGCCGCUGGCCACCCUCUGCUCCGCACCUCGCGGCUUCGGAGGAGGCCGCCACCUUCGCGGGGGGUUUUCUGGGCGCUGCUCGUGAGCGGCCGUUUCUCGGGAGAUGUUAGUCCAUAAAUAAAAUAGCAGAGAAGUUGGGGACACUCAGUUUCCUGGAGAUUCCACUGACGAGGGUUGUAACAAACUUCUGUUCAAUUUGAUGGGGCUUUGGAGCUAAGCCAGGAGCACUGAAGAUGGAUUGGAAAGUCGGUGACAUGAUUAAGGAGGCAUAUGUCCUCAGCUCUUUCGCCGGCAGGAGCAGUAGCAAAGGUGGCAAAGGAAAGCUUGGGUCUACUUUCUUUUCGUUGCAAAUUUUCGGGACUGCUUACUUUUUGUUGCAACUUGUCAGAGCUGCUUAUUUUUUGUUGCGAUUUGUCAGGCAGCUUAUUUAUUGUUGCAAUUUAGUUAAGUAUAAGCUUCACAUCAAGAUUACACGCGAAUGGAGGGAUACAUAUAAUAAUCAAGAUGGAAUAGUUAAUGCUCUUUUUUUU